GUUCAGAAACUUGGAAUCUUCAUCUGUUAGUUCAUCGGCGUCUUUAGGCGGUUGGAUCACUUUCUUCACAGCUAUGAUCUUCCCAUUGCUUCCUGGUAGUUCAGCUUUGAAAACUUCUCCACAACCUCCUCUUCCUAUGAUCUCCAGAGAAGCUAACGCUUCUUCAUUCUCCAAGAAAGCUAAAUCUUC